UACAGAGGUCCCAAGCGUUGUUCGGAUUCACUGGGCGUAAAGGGUGCGUAGGUGGUCGGGUAAGUCUGAUGUGAAAUCUCCGGGCUCAACCCGGAAAUGGCAUUGGAUACUAUUCGGCUAGAGGGUUUGAGGGGGGACUGGAAUACUUGGUGUAGCAGUGAAAUGCGUAGAUAUCAAGUGGAACACCAGUGGCGAAGGCGGCAUCCUGGACCGACAUUGACGCUGAGGCGCGAAAGCCAGGGGAGCAAACGGG
rnacentral:rRNA from 1 species